GCCGCGACGGGAACUCCGUUGUAGCAUAUUUUAUACCAAUAGUUUGUACCUCUAAAUUCCCUACCGCAUAAGCCCCUCCCCCCUUCUCUUUCCCCACUGGUAACCACUUGUUCUUUAUAUCUGUGAGUUUGCUUCUUUUUUUUAUUAUUAUAUUCACUACUUUGUUGUAUUUUUUAGAUCCCACAUGCAAGUGAUAGCAUACAGUAUUUGUCUUUCUCUGUCUGAUGUAUUUCACUUAGCAUAAUGCCCUCCAAGUCCAUCUAUGUUGCUGCAAAUAGCAAGUUUUCAUUACUUUUAUGACUGAGUAGUAUUCCAUUGUGUAUACAUACCACAUCUUCUUUAUCUAUUCAUCUGUUGAUGGACACUUAGGUUGCUUCCAUAUCUUGUUGAUUGUAAAUAAUGUUGCUGUGAACAUUGGGAUGCAUGUAUCUUUUCAAAUGAGUGUUUUUGUUUUUGUUUUGGCUAUAUGCCCAGAGUAGGAUUGCUAGAUUGUAUCACAGCGCUAUUUUUAGGGUGUUUUUUUGUUGUUGUUUCUUUUUGGGUUUUGUCUUUUUGCCUUUUCUAGGGCUGCUUCCCGCAGCAUAUGGAGGUUCCCAGGCUAGGGGUCUAAUUGGAGCCAUAGCCGCCGGCCUACGCCACAGCCACAGCAACAGAGAAUCUGAACCAUGUCUUCGGCCUACACCACAGCUCGUGGCAACGCCAGAUCCUUAACCCACUGAGCAAGGCCAGGGAUCGAACCCGCAACCUCAUGGUUCCUAGUCGGAUUCCUUAACCACUGAGCCACGAUGGGAACUCUUAUUUUUAGUUUUUUGACAAAACUCCAUUCUGUUUGCCACAGUGAUUGCACCAAUGUACAUUCCCACCAGCAGUGUACAGAUCUGAACAUUGUUUUUUUUUGUUGUUGUUGUUCCUAGAGGAAGGGACAGAAGGUCCACUGGAUGCAGAGAGUCUGAGAGAAGAUCUUCCCAGUAGUGAACCUGCCCUCAUCUCCGGGGAACUGCAAGGAAGGUUCCUCAGUGCCAAAGAAAGAAAGAGAAUCUGUGAUCUCAAGCUAUCACCACUCCACCUGGAUACCCAUCCCUGGGUAGGACUGAUAUCACAACAAUCUCUAUCUGCAAGAAGUGCAUUAACCCCAAGGCAGCCUGAACACAGCUGAGGAUGGAUCAUCACUGCCCCUGGCUAAGAAACUGUGUGGGCCACUAUAACCAUCCGUACUUCUUCUCUUUCUGCUUUUUGAUGACUCUAUAGGCUGUGUCUAUUGCAGCUACGGAAGUUGGGACUUUUUCCAGGGAGCUUAUGCUACCAUCAAGACUUAUCACCAGAUCCCACCACCCAGUUUCUCCUUUCGAGAAAAAGUGACUCACAGAGUCUUGUCUACCUCUGGUUCCUGUGCAGUUCCGUGGCACUUGCCCU
rnacentral:lncRNA from 1 species